AUUGAACGCUGGCGGCAGGCCUAACACAUGCAAGUCGAACGAGAGGAGGACGGGUGAGUAAUGUCGGGGAAACUGCGUGAUGGAGGGGGAUAUCUACUGGAAACGGUAGUUAUUACCGCACACCAUCGGAUGUGCCCAGAUGGGAUUAUCUAGUAGGUGGGGUAAAGGCUCACCUAGGCGACGAUCCCUAGCUGGUCUGAGAGGAUGACCAGCCACACUGGAACUGAGACACGGUCCAGACUCCUACGGGAGGCAGCAGUGGGGAAUAUUGCACAAUGGGCGCAAGCCGGAUGCAGCCAUGCCGCGUGUGUGAAGAAGGCCUUCGGGUUGUAAAGUACUUUCAGCGGGGAGGCGUUACCCGCAGAAGAAGCACCGGCUAACUCCGUGCCAGCAGCCGCGGUAAUAC
rnacentral:rRNA from 1 species